GUAAUUCGCCGAGGCUGGCGGCUUACCCACUGGGAACUAUUGUUAAUAGUUCUCACGCCCUUUUGGUGGUUGUUUUUGCAGAGCCAUCUACAGGAGAGGCUAGGGAUCGUGGCAAGGCAGUCGCGCCUAGCUAGGGACUACUAGGAGCGUGCUAGUCGAUCACCUUGCUACUCGGGCUACGGCCGAGGGUGAUGUCCCUAUGUAUAGAUAGACCACCGUUGUACCUAUUCUUUUGUUUACCCCGUGAUGUAUAUGUACUUUUGGACAGUCACUUUAGUGGUGAUACUCAUCUUUUGGUUGAGAUUUUUGGACUAUACUCCUUUACUCUAUUGUUGAUUGUAUUGUUGACUUGUACUUUGCUCUGAUAUCAGGAUGGAAUUUCCUAUGAGCUUCUUCCUAUCGACUUGCUUGUUUGUAGACGCCUUAUAUACUGCAGGUGUAUGGCGGGUCUGUUCACGUACCGGAUAUGCUUCCGCUGGUACCCGGGCGUGACAGAUGGCCAUUGCGAUUCAUAUUCGCCGUGCGGGAUUGGGCGCCGAAGUGGAUUGCCGUGGGACAGGCUCAUUCCUAGGGUGGGGAUGAUGACUACCACGGGGCCAUUAGGCUCGGCAUCGGCCAGACAGCCUACGGGUGGGUCUCAGGGCCGUAGACAGCCUUCGGGUGGGUCUCUUCAGAUUUGACUUUGUGUAGCCAUUAUGACAUACGGACAGAUGAUGACUUAGUGUACUACUUGAACAUUGACUAGAAUAGUAAACAACGAAACUUUACUAUUUCACACUGUGAACACCAUGAUCGUUAGAGACUCUUACUUCAUGCAUAGUCGCUUUCAUACUUAUGCUAUUUAUGCUAAGUAGAGAUAUCAUGUCGUAGUAAGUACAUUUUUGCUUACCUUUCUACUUUUAUAGUCACUGACAUCUUUUGUAGCUUUGGGCCUUGUGGUGCAUUCACUGAAGUCAGUAAUUGCCCACUGGGAACUAUUUUUAAUAGUUCUCACGCCCCUGUUUUAUGGUUUACUUUUCAGAGCCUUCGGCACCGGCGGAGGCACGGGAUCGCGGCAAGGGGAUCGCUUAGCUAGCUAGCAAGGAGCGGUACUUUGCCUAGGUGGUUACUCUUUCUUUUGUAGUUGAGAGAGUGAGAGAUUUUGUAUCCAUGUAUAGAGACCACCUGUGUAUCUACUUUUAGUACUUGUUAUGGGAUUCCUAUCGUAUUUACUUUAUGUUUUACUUAGUGGAUUUAUAGUUUCAUCCUUAUUUCUUGUUGUAGCUUUUAGACAUUCUUUAUGCUCUGAUACUCCUAGAUGUCUUUUAUUAUUGCUUUUAUUAUUGUUGUUGUUAGACGCCUUAUGCGUUUUAGACGCAUGGCGGGUCUGGGCACGUGCCGGGCGGGCUUCCGCUGGGUCCCGGGGCGUGACCGGUUGCAUCAAAACUCACGCAGUGAGGACCUUAGGGGAACCGGUCUCUUGAACUCAGGGACCGGUCCCAGAACACAGAAAAGUUCAGUAAAAUAGUUUUAAAGCAAUCUAAGCCUUCUGAACUUAUUCUAAUUAAGUACCUUCACCACAAAUGAUCUUUUCUUCAUACCUUAGGUGCCGAACUUUACGAAUGAAUCUUCGUUCUUCAAUUUGAAUCUUUUCUUCAAAAACUUUCGCGAUCAACUCUUCAAGACUCCAUUCAACAUUACGAAAUUCACCAACCUAUAAAAUCCUUAACAUCUUCGUCACUUGACGAUGAUUUACUAGAAGAAUCAUCCCAAGUCUUUGCUUGCAUAGCCUUC
rnacentral:lncRNA from 1 species